UACGAAGGGGCUAGCGUUGCUCGGAAUCACUGGGCGUAAAGGGUGCGUAGGCGGGUCUUUAAGUCAGGGGUGAAAUCCUGGAGCUCAACUCCAGAACUGCCUUUGAUACUGGGGAUCUCGAGUCCGGAAGAGGUGAGUGGAACUCCGAGUGUAGAGGUGAAAUUGUAGAUAUUCGGAAGAAACACCAGUGGCGAAGGCGGCUCACUGGUCCGGUACUGACGCUGAGGUGCGAAAAGCGUGGGGAGCAAACAGGGAUUAAGAU
rnacentral:rRNA from 1 species